rnacentral:tRNA from 1 species
GUUCCCGUAGUCUAAUGGAUAAGAUAGCAGACUCCGACUCUGCUGAUGCGAGUUCGAUUCUCGCCGGGGAUA